UCCCCGGUAGCUCAGUCGGUAGAGCAUCUGACUGUUAAUCAGAGUGUCCGUGGUUCGAGUCCACGCCGGGGAGCCA
rnacentral:tRNA from 1 species